AGUAUAGUAUAGUGGUUAGUAUGUCUUCCUUCCAAGUAGAUGGCUUCAGUUCGAUUCUGAAUAUU
rnacentral:tRNA from 1 species